GUCCACGCCGUAAACGUUGGGCACUAGGUGUGGGACCUCUCAACGGGUUCCGUGCCGUAGCUAACGCAGUAAGUGCCCCGCCUGGGGAGUACGGUCGCAAGACUAAAACUCAAAGGAAUUGACGGGGGCCCGCACAAGCGGCGGAGCAUGUUGCUUAAUUCGAUGCAACGCGAAGAACCUUACCUGGGCUUGACAUGUACGGAAAAGCUGCAGAGAUGUGGUGUCCUUCGGGCCGGUACACAGGUGGUGCAUGGCUGUCGU
rnacentral:rRNA from 1 species